UACGUAGGGGGCAAGCGUUAUCCGGAUUUACUGGGUGUAAAGGGAGCGUAGACGGCGGUGCAAGCCAGAUGUGAAAGCCCGGGGCCCAACCCCGGGACUGCUUUGGAAACUGCCAUGCUGGAGUGCUGGAGAGGUAAGCGGAAUUCCUAGUGUAGCGGUGAAAUGCGUAGAUAUUAGGAGGAACACCAGUGGCGAAGGCGGCUUACUGGACAGUAACUGACGUUGAGGCUCGAAAGCAUGGGUAGCGAACAGG
rnacentral:rRNA from 1 species